rnacentral:tRNA from 1 species
UUGUCGUAGCGGGUGGCGAUGCCGCGCCAUUGCUUGAGGCGGUGGAAGCAGCGUUCGACGACGUUGCGGCGCC